UAAGGUGCAAAGGAUGACCAAACUUUUUUCCCCAGCAGAUCGACACUGUUGACUGCGCUAUUUUUAAGCCAAAACUUCUGAUGCACUGUU